UACGUAGGGGGCAAGCGUUGUCCGGAUUCAUUGGGCGUAAAGAGCGUGUAGGCGGCCCGAUAAGUCCGCUGUGAAAGUCCAGGGCUCAACCCUGGAAUGCCAGUGGAAACUGUCGGGCUAGAGUCCGGAAGAGGCGAGUGGAAUUCCCGGUGUAGCGGUGAAAUGCGCAGAUAUCGGGAGGAACACCAAUGGCGAAGGCAGCUCGCUGGGACGGUACUGACGCUGAGACGCGAAAGCGUGGGGAGCAAACAGGG
rnacentral:rRNA from 1 species